rnacentral:rRNA from 1 species
CGGCGAGGGGAGUGAAAAAGAACCUGAAACCGUGUACGUACAAGCAGUAGGAGCCCCAUCACUCAAGUGCCUCGCACUGAGUGAUGCAAUAACAUCACCGAAAAUAGCGCCGAAUUUGCUAACAAGGUUGGUCGAUUUUUUCAAGCCGUCGCGCAGUGUACCUAGAAGUACACGAGCAACGGAAGUUAAAAAAUCGGGCAAGAUUGAACGCAAAGGCAAGCGGGACAUUUGAGGAUGGGGUGACUGCGUACCUUUUGUAUAAUGGGUCAGCGACUUAUAUUCUGUAGCAAGGUUAACCGUAUAGGGGAGCCGUAGGGAAACCGAGUCUUAACUGGGCGAAUGAGUUGCAGGGUAUAGACCCGAAACCCGGUGAUCUAUCCAUGGGCAGGUUGAAGGUUGGGUAACACUAACUGGAGGACCGAACCGACUAAUGUUGAAAAAUUAGCGGAUGACUUGUGGAUGGGGGUGAAAGGCCAAUCAAACCGGGAGAUAGCUGGUUCUCCCCGAAAGCUAUUUAGGUAGCGCCUCGUGAACUCAUCUUCGGGGGUAGAGCACUGUUUCGACUAGGGGGUCAUCCCGACUUACCAACUCGAUGCAAACUGCGAAUACCGAAGAAUGUUAUCACGGGAGACACACGGCGGGUGCUAACGUCCGUCGUGAAGAGGGAAACAACCCAGACCGCCAGCUAAGGUCCCAAAGUCAUGGUUAAGUGGGAAACGAAGUGGGAAGGCUCAGACAGCCAGGAUGUUGGCUUAGAAGCAGCCAUCAUU